CCACACAAAUGAACGAUGGGAAUAGAGAGUAAGAUGAUAUUAU
rnacentral:guide_RNA from 1 species